UACGUAGGGUGCGAGCGUUGUCCGGAAUUAUUGGGCGUAAAGAGCUCGUAGGCGGUUUGUCGCGUCUGCUGUGAAAGUCCGAGGCUCAACCUCGGAUCUGCAGUGGGUACGGGCAGACUAGAGUGUGGUAGGGGAGACUGGAAUUCCUGGUGUAGCGGUGGAAUGCGCAGAUAUCAGGAGGAACACCAAUGGCGAAGGCAGGUCUCUGGGCCACAACUGACGCUGAGGAGCGAAAGCAUGGGGAGCGAACAGG
rnacentral:rRNA from 1 species